UGUGCUUUAUAUAUCUUUAUAAAGAUAUAGUAUUAAAGUAUAUAGGCUUACUAUAGAAUAUAGAUGUAAUAUGUAUCUUCAUAUAUGUACAUAUAAAUUACGUAUACAGAUAUGUAAUUUACAUGUACAUAGCACCCUAAUUCUAUUUCUUCGCUACAUCCAUUUGAUUUGUAUUAAUUCAGAUCAAUCUGAAAUAAUCGAAUGUAAAUUCUUACUCUUACGUCUCUAAUUCCUGGGUUUCUGAUUAUUUCCAAUAUGGAUGACGGGAUCUAUCGAAAGAAUCAAUGUAAGUAUGUGCAUAUCUUAUAUAAAAGAAAAAACCAAGUAAUCCUUGUAAUCCUUUUUAGUAUUUCGAAGAAGUAAUUGGUUGAGCCGUUCACAGAUGAUCCAAGGAGUUCUAGGAGAACUUCUUCGGAUUUGGAAAAGGAGUGAGUCGAUAAACGAUAAAGUAGAAAUAAGAUUUCUAAAAUCUAAAACAAAUGGAUGGUAAGUGUGCGUGAAUCGUCUAACGCACGAUCUUAUUAUGCGUAGUACCUCGUUGGACAACCACAAUGUCUAUGUUGCCUCCCGUAGAAAGUAUGUAUCUACGUAAUAACAGAACGACUUCCUCUUUGAAGAGGAAAAGAAGUAAAAAAAAGGGGGGGUCGGCUGCUCUUCAUUAGAAUAUCCAUAUAUAAUUCUGGUAAGAGCCAGUUCAUCGGAAUAGAAUAUUCAAAUUCGGUUGGAAAAACUUUCCUAUUAUCUAGAUCCCUUUUCCUUUCGAAAUAGGAACACGGGAAUUCUUGAAAUAGUUGUUUGAUUGAAAAGUUAUUAUUUGUAAUAAUACAUUACUUUACUUUUACUGGUACUGGAUUCCAGUAGAAUUUUGAAAUGAAGAUAUUGUUAUUUAACAAUGCUUUGCAGAACGAUCUAUGAAACAAUUGAUAGAGUUUGAUUACCCAACUUAAUCUUAAUUAGUAGUACCUCUAGAGUCCACUUCUUCCCCAUACUACGAGCGAAAGAGAAAAUGUAAAGACUACCAUUAAAGCAGCCCAAGCGAGGCUUACUAUAUCCAUGUAAAUUAUGUCCCCUAUCUCUAUGAAUAUGAAAGAAUUAUU